ACACCACCGGAGAGUAUUUGCAACAAUUUAGGGCUCAUUCAGGGUCUUACGGUCUUACGGUCACACGGUCACACGGUCACCUGGAGGGACCGUGGGACCGUAAGAACCCGGCUCGGAAGAAAAGCGCCCCGCUGCCGCCUUACGGUGGCCUCGGAGAGGGGCUUCUGAGACCCCUAGGCUGACUGUGGACUCAGAACCGGAAGUUGAUCAGCAACGCAGGGGAAGGGCUCAGGCAAGCACGGCGGCGAACAGUUUCAGGGACUAUUGGCUCAGACCCCACCUCUUGAAUUUCUGGUACACCCUCAUCAACCUGGUGUCCACGUCCUGGUAAAGACAUGGAAGGAAGACAAAGUUGAGCCAGCUUGGGAAGGACCUUAUCAGGUGCUGCUUGCGACUGAAACAGCUGUUCACACCACAGAGAAAGGUUGGACUUAUUACACUCGAGUUAAGGGAGCUCCAUCUCCUGACCAAGAGGAACAAUGGGCUGUGAUCCCAGACCCCGACACCACAAAAUGAACCCUGAAAAGACUCUGAUCAUACUUACAGCCCUGUUAGGGGGAGUAAAUUGUAUUUUUACCAUCAAUGUAACUCAGAGUACCUCUCCUGUAACCAUUAAGUUUGAUGCAUGUGUAGUUUUACCGUGUGGAAAUUUGAACUCCCAGAGGCAAUUACAAGUCAGGCGCCCUUCUGCAGAAGUAGUUAGCCUUACCAAGCCAUUUUUGAGUUUCUGUUUCCUUCUCACGACACCACCAGAGAGUAUUCCCAACACAGGUAAGAAGGUAAGAGUUCAAAAUGGGAACAAGGAUUUUUGGGGUGGUGGUGGGAGAACUGGGUGAUUUGUUUGUUUUUUGUUGUUGUUGUUUUUUGUUGCUAUGCAUUUACUCAAUUCCUAAGUACUUAAACAUAUUUGG